CCCAACUAUCCCUAUUAAUCAUUACGGUGAUUCAGAAACCAACAAAACAGGACCACCGUCCUAUUUUAUUAUUCCAUGCUAAUGUAUUCAGACAUAAGCCUGCUUUGAACACUCUAAUUUUUUCAAGGUAAAGGUCCUGGUUUCCCACUACGCUAAAUUAAUAACAUAAUGGUUCCCCAGAAGGUAGAAAUUCUACACGCCAGUACAGACAAAGCCCGACCAACGGUAGAACCCCGAAAUUCAACUACGAG
rnacentral:rRNA from 1 species